UUAAAUUGAAGAGUUUGAUCAUGGCUCAGAUUGAACGCUGGCGGCAGGCCUAACACAUGCAAGUCGAACGGUAACAGGAAGCAGCUUGCUGCUUCGCUGACGAGUGGCGGACGGGUGAGUAAUGUCUGGGAAACUGCCUGAUGGAGGGGGAUAACUACUGGAAACGGUAGCUAAUACCGCAUAACGUCGCAAGACCAAAGAGGGGGACCUUCGGGCCUCUUGCCAUCGGAUGUGCCCAGAUGGGAUUAGCUAGUAGGUGGGGUAACGGCUCACCUAGGCGACGAUCCCUAGCUGGUCUGAGAGGAUGACCAGCCACACUGGAACUGAGACACGGUCCAGACUCCUACGGGAGGCAGCAGUGGGGAAUAUUGCACAAU
rnacentral:rRNA from 1 species